UACGAAGGGUGCAAACGUUGCUCGGAAUUAUUGGGCGUAAAGCGCACGUAGGCGGCUUGUUAAGUCGGAGGUGAAAUCCUGGAGCUCAACUCCAGAACUGCCUUUGAUACUGAGGAUCUUGAGUUCGGGAGAGGUGAGUGGAACUGCGAGUGUAGAGGUGAAAUUCGUAGAUAUUCGCAAGAACACCAGUGGCGAAGGCGGCUCACUGGCCCGGUACUGACGCUGAGGUGCGAAAGCGUGGGGAGCAAACAGG
rnacentral:rRNA from 1 species